rnacentral:lncRNA from 1 species
UUGCUAAGCCUUCUUCAAAGGCCUAUGAAUUAAAUGGGCAGAGAAAUUCCAAGAUCCUGCUGGGGUUUGGUGAUAGAGACAUAAAUUGAAGACUUUCUCCUCCUCCUCCUGUUAAAGCCCCCAAACACAUCUUGGAUCUAGGCCAGGACUGCUUUCUCCUCUCCUUAAAGCCUUGACUCACCUACUCCUUUAAUUCAUGGAUAAUCCUGCUCUUCCAAAUGGGUUAUUCUCCUAUGCCUACUGAAAAACAAGAAGCCAAUUUCUAUUUCUUUUCCUCUGACUCUAAAACAGGCAAAUAAUUCUUUUCAAGUUUCCUCAAGUGUGAUUUUUAUUUUCUUUUUCUGAAGACAACUACAGGAAAUUAUAGGGCCAGAACAAAACUACAGGAAAAGAGCAGGUAGUUAGUUAAGAUAGCAAAACAAUCAAGAAGUACAAAGUAUUGGAUAUUUUAACAGCUUAAAAUAAUAAUGAUGGUGAUAAUUCACAUUUAGAGAGUAUUUUAAGAUUCGCCAAGUAUUCUGCUCAGAUCUGGAGAACAAUUUAUACAGUAAUAACAUUGUAAACAGAAACAGCUUUGAAAGACUCAAGAACUCCAAUGGAGCAACCAGCCUUGAUUCUGAAAGACCAUUGAGGAAGAAUAUCCUUACAGACAUGGGAUGGAUUCCAGGUCCAUUUCUUGAUGUGUUUGCCUUCCUCUCUACAUCCCUGUCCCCAGCCUGAAAGAUAUGCCUUGUUUUGAGUUCAUUUACAAAACUGAGUCUAGUGACUAAUCAAACCCUUCUUCAGUUGUAUUUCCAACUCCCUCCACUUCCCUAGGACUUAGCAGUUGGGUAACCCCUAAGGAGUAAUUUUCCAGAAUCAUACCACUACAAUUUUACAAGAGAAAACCUACUUUACACAUGCCGUAAUGAUGACAGGCAAUUCCCACCAAAAGUAAGAGGAGAUCAUUAUCUCGAACAUUGCAGAGAAUGAAACAAAAUCACCAGUGGUGAAGAGAAAGCAGUAGUUAUACUGGACUGGAAAAGGGGAAGAAGAAAAAAAAAAAGCUUAGUUCCUCUUUAUUUUCUUUAUAAAGCCUUCCCUGACCACUGCAAGUGGUCUUUCUCUUCUCUAUCUAUAUCCCUAAUACUGCUUUGCUGUCUGUAUAUCUCAUUAGACAAUCAUAUAUUGUCUUGUGAAAGUCCUUUACAUUAAUUUCAAUUUAAGAUUAAAUUCCUUUAAAAUUUUUUUCAUUAAAAAA